rnacentral:rRNA from 1 species
ACGUAGGGACCAAGCGUUGUUCGGAUUUACUGGGCGUAAAGGGCGCGUAGGCGGCCCCACAAGUCACUUGUGAAAUCUCCGGGCUUAACUCGGAACGGCCAAGUGAAACUGUGGAGCUAGAGUGUGGAAGGGGCAAUCGGAAUUCUUGGUGUAGCGGUGAAAUGCGUAGAUAUCAAGAGGAACACCUGAGGUGAAGACGGGUUGCUGGGCCAACACUGACGCUGAGGCGCGAAAGCCAGGGGAGCAAACGGGA